rnacentral:rRNA from 1 species
GACGAACGCUGGCGGCGUGCUUAACACAUGCAAGUCGAACGGAAAGGCCCUGCUUGCAGGGUACUCGAGUGGCGAACGGGUGAGUAACACGUGGGUGAUCUGCCCUGCACUUCGGGAUAAGCCUGGGAAACUGGGUCUAAUACCGGAUAGGAGCCAUUUUUAGUGUGAUGGUUGGAAAGUUUUUUCGGUGUAGGAUGAGCUCGCGGCCUAUCAGCUUGUUGGUGGGGUAAUGGCCUACCAAGGCGGCGACGGGUAGCCGGCCUGAGAGGGGGGACGGCCACAUUGGGACUGAGAUACGGCCCAGACUCCUACGGGAGGCAGCAGUGGGGAAUAUUGCACAAUGGGCGCAAGCCUGAUGCAGCGACGCCGCGUGGGGGAUGACGGCCUUCGGGUUGUAAACUCCUUUCGCUAGGGACGAAGCUUUGUGUGACGGUACCUAGAUAAGAAGCACCGGCUAACUACGU